rnacentral:rRNA from 2 species
GUGGCGACCGGCGCACGGGUGAGUAACGCGUAUGCAACCUACCUAUCAGAGGGGAAUAACCCGGCGAAAGUCGGACUAAUACCGCAUAAAACAGGGACACCGCAUGGUGAUAUUUGUUAAAGAAAUUCGCUGAUAGAUGGGCAUGCGUUCCAUUAGGUAGUUGGUGAGGUAACGGCUCACCAAGCCGACGAUGGAUAGGGGAACUGAGAGGUUGGUCCCCCACACUGGUACUGAGACACGGACCAGACUCCUACGGGAGGCAGCAGUGAGGAAUAUUGGUCAAUGGGCGAGAGCCUGAACCAGCCAAGUCGCGUGAAGGAAGAAGGAUCUAUGGUUCGUAAACUUCUUUUGCAGGGGAAUAAAGUGCAGGACGUGUCCUGUUUUGUAUGUACCCUGAGAAUAAGGAUCGGCUAACUCCGUGCCAGCAGCCGCGGUAAUACGGAGGAUCCGAGCGUUAUCCGGAUUUAUUGGGUUUAAAGGGUGCGUAGGUGGUUUGAUAAGUCAGCGGUGAAAGUUUGCAGCUUAACUGUAAAAAUGCCGUUGAAACUGUCGGACUUGAGUGUAAAUGAGGUAGGCGGAAUGCGUGGUGUAGCGGUGAAAUGCUUAGAUAUCACGAAGAACUCCGAUUG